UAUUGCACAAUGGGGGAAACCCUGAUGCAGCGACGCCGCGUGAGCGAUGACGUAUUUCGGUAUGUAAAGCUCUAUCAGCAGGGAAGAAAAUGACGGUACCUGACUAAGCAGCCCCGGCUAACUACGUGCCAGCAGCCGCGGUAUUACGUAGGGGGCAAGCGUUAUCCGGAUUUACUGGGUGUAAAGGGAGCGUCGGCGGUCCUGCAAGCCAGAUGUGAAAGCCCGGGGCUCAACCCCGGGACUGCAUUUGGAACUGUAAGGCUAGAGUGUCGGAGAGGCAGGCGGAAUUCCUAGUGUAGCGGUGAAAUGCGUAGAUAUUAGGAGGAACACCAGUGGCGAAGGCGGCCUGCUGGACGAUGACUGACGUUGAGGCUCGAAAGCGUGGGGAGCAAACAGG
rnacentral:rRNA from 1 species